rnacentral:rRNA from 1 species
AGAUUGAACGCUGGCGGCAGGCCUAACACAUGCAAGUCGAGCGACAGCACGGGUACUUGUACCUGGUGGCGAGCGGCGGACGGGUGAGUAAUGCCUAGGAAUCUGCCUGGUAGUGGGGGAUAACGCUCGGAAACGGACGCUAAUACCGCAUACGUCCUACGGGAGAAAGCCGGGGACCUUCGGGCCUUGCGCUAUCAGAUGAGCCUAGGUCGGAUUAGCUAGUUGGUGAGGUUAAUGGCUCACCAAGGCGACG